rnacentral:tRNA from 1 species
GAGGGUAUAGCUCAGUGGUAGAGUACAUGCCUAGCAUGCACAAGGUCCUGGGUUCAAUCCCCAGUACCUUCA